rnacentral:ncRNA from 1 species
AGCUAGGGACGACCCUAUUUGAUGCUCUUUAUUCUUCCGGGACGACCCGG